CACUGUCCGCGAACUCUGACUCUCACUUCUGUGCCCAAAUUAAUUUCCUUUGGACCCUUGGAACUGUGGUGGGGCACUAGCUGCAGAAUAAGAGGAUAAUGGCCUAGGUGGUCUAGCAGAAAACUGUGGUCUGAACCCUCCUUCGGAUGCCAUGAACUGCCCUGUAGAUCUGGCCCUCUUGGAAUAUCCUCUUUCUAAUUCCUCUGCCUCUGAUCUUCCAUUUUUUGUGCAAAAGCUUGGAUUCUCGCUAUGUCCAUAUCUUUGUUCAAAGCGGCAAUAGUAUAAUCUCUAACCAGAUAUGGAUCUAGCCUAUCCACAUAUUGAUAAACUCUAUCAUCCAUAAUAGAUACAAUAUUAGGAGCAUAUCUCGACAAGGAAUUAAAUCGGAGACUGUACUCUCUCACGCUCAUAUUCCCCUAACGAAGAUUUAAAAACUGAUCUGCACG
rnacentral:lncRNA from 1 species